rnacentral:lncRNA from 1 species
CUCUCGAGAGUCUCUCGGGGACUGGACUAGCCACGGGUUGUGGUGAACCAGGAUACAUCGGUUCAAUGUUCAAGUUGGCAAAAAAGUGAUCAUCAAGAAAAGUACACCUUUCGGGACACGUCAGAAUUUUAACCAAUAUUCUAGUUCACACUUUAAUCAUUUCACCUUAGUGGCAGGACAAACUUCUCCAACAUUAUCAAUAUCACUAAUAUACGGAGACAAAGCAAUAACCAUCAGCUUCCAAUUCACUUCCAUAUGGUCAUAUUAUCACCAGCGGCAAAUCCAAGAUUUAAGUCAAUAGUUGUGGAGUAUCCCAGUACACGCACUAUGCUCCUUGGCAAUUGGCGCCAACUUAAUAGACUUACAUACACAGAUAAAUACACGCAUUCUGUUCAACUAUAUAUGGUUCAAGCUGAGGACAGACACUCCAAUUCUACAGAUGCCCUGAUUAACUCCACAACCUAAAGGAGAAUGCACCUAAAUUUUGUAUGCCCUUGCACCUCAAUGUUCGGUAACAAAAAUAAAUCGAUUCGAAAAAAAGAGAAGGAAAUAAAGAUAUCCUCGACUCGCAUAAACACCUUUGUAUGUAAGUUUUACGAAACAAAAGCCUCAUGUUAUAUUCAAAUAAAAGCGCAUAAAAAUGUUAGAGAAUAAAAAAAAAAUUAAAAAAAUUAGCAGGGAAAGAAAGACGCACAUGGAACGAGAAGAAAGUAGAGAUUUGCGAUGAGGAGAAACAGGGAGUCCUCCUGCAUUAUCGAUGCCGCCUGUUUUCUUCUUCGACUGGGAGGAUAAGCUUGCCAUUGACAAGCUUCUUCUCGACGGCGUUCUUCCUCCUACACUCGUUGUCAUCUGAUGUAUUUAUCACACAAAUUAAUACAACAAAAUUCGAAAUUCAACUUGCAAAAUCAUGAGAACCAAAAAUCAUUUAACUACCUUAUACAGAAGGAAAUAUUUACAGUAAUGGAGGCAAAAGAGUUGAUAACGCGGAUUAAUGGAAAAUGACAAGUGAACCUGAAAGGAAAGAUUUCCAGGAAAAUUCUUCAGGUGAAUUUUCCGGGAAAGAGAAAAUCAAGAGCUAGAGAGAAUGAUCGAUAUGUGUUUUGAGAUUUAAAAUUGAAUGGAAUGUGUGUUUGGAGGAUGCCGUGUUCUUAGAGGUUUUGGCCGAUGAAAUUAUUCCACGUUAACGUACAUCAGCCUCUGGAAUGUAGUUUCCAA